GGUUAAGUUAGAAAGGGCGCACGGUGGAUGCCUUGACACUAGGAGUCGAUGAAGGACGGGACUAACGCCGAUAUGCUUCGGGGAGCUGUAAGUAAGCUUUGAUCCGAAGAUUUCCGAAUGGGGAAACCCACUAUACGUAAUGGUAUGGUAUCCUUACCUGAAUACAUAGGGUAUGGAAGACAGACCCAGGGAACUGAAACAUCUAAGUACCUGGAGGAAGAGAAAGCAAAUGCGAUUUCCUGAGUAGCGGCGAGCGAAACGGAAUCUAGCCCAAACCAAGAGGCUUGCCUCUUGGGGUUGUAGGACAUUCUAUACGGAGUUACAAAGGAACGAGGUAGACGAAGCGACCUGGAAAGGUCCGUCGUAGAGGGUAACAACCCCGUAGUCGAAACUUCGUUCUCUCUUGAAUGUAUCCUGAGUACGGCGGAACACGUGAAAUUCCGUCGGAAUCUGGGAGGACCAUCUCCCAAGGCUAAAUACUCCCUAGUGAUCGAUAGUGAACCAGUACCGUGAGGGAAAGGUGAAAAGCACCCCGGAAGGGGAGUGAAAGAGAUCCUGAAACCGUGUGCCUACAAAUAGUCAGAGCCCGUUAAUGGGUGAUGGCGUGCCUUUUGUAGAAUGAACCGGCGAGUUACGAUCCCGUGCGAGGUUAAGUUGAAGAGACGGAGCCGCAGCGAAAGCGAGUCUGAAUAGGGCGUUUAGUACGUGGUCGUAGACCCGAAACCAGGUGAUCUACCCAUGUCCAGGGUGAAGUUCAGGUAACACUGAAUGGAGGCCCGAACCCACGCACGUUGAAAAGUGCGGGGAUGAGGUGUGGGUAGCGGAGAAAUUCCAAUCGAACCUGGAGAUAGCUGGUUCUCCCCGAAAUAGCUUUAGGGCUAGCCUUAAGUGUAAGAGUCUUGGAGGUAGAGCACUGAUUGAACUAGGGGUCCUCAUCGGAUUACCGAAUUCAGUCAAACUCCGAAUGCCAAUGACUUAUCCUUAGGAGUCAGACUGCGAGUGAUAAGAUCCGUAGUCAAGAGGGAAACAGCCCAGAUCGCCAGCUAAGGUCCCAAAGUGUGUAUUAAGUGGAAAAGGAUGUGGAGUUGCUUAGACAACUAGGAUGUUGGCUUAGAAGCAGCCACCAUUUAAAGAGUGCGUAAUAGCUCACUAGUCGAGUGACUCUGCGCCGAAAAUGUACCGGGGCUAAAUACACCACCGAAGCUGCGAAUUGAUACCAAUGGUAUCAGUGGUAGGGGAGCGUUCUAAGUGCAGUGAAGUCAGACCGGAAGGACUGGUGGAGCGCUUAGAAGUGAGAAUGCCGGUAUGAGUAGCGAAAGACGGGUGAGAAUCCCGUCCACCGAAUGCCUAAGGUUUCCUGAGGAAGGCUCGUCCGCUCAGGGUUAGUCAGGACCUAAGCCGAGGCCGACAGGCGUAGGCGAUGGACAACAGGUUGAUAUUCCUGUACCACCUCUUUAUCGUUUGAGCAAUGGAGGGACGCAGAAGGAUAGAAGAAGCGUGCGAUUGGUUGUGCACGUCCAAGCAGUUAGGCUGAUAAGUAGGCAAAUCCGCUUAUCGU
rnacentral:rRNA from 1 species